CACAAUGCCCAUAUCCUAUUAAGUGUUUUUAGGGCCUAUCUAUUACACCUUCUAGGAUUGGAUUGGACUUGACAAAUUUUUAUCCCAUAUUUGUUUUCACUUGGUUCUAGUUUUAAGUGGGACUGUUAAUACUGGCUCCACCAAAAAUACCUCCUUAGGUGUUCUUAGGGAAACCUAUGUGAAAAAGGAGGACUAGGCAUUCUCGACCCAAGGGCCACCAAAGUGCCUGCAACCACCCAAGUGCUAGCCAACCACCGACCACCCAAGUGCCAUCCACAGCCACCAAUCACCCAAGCACCUACAACCAAUCCAAACCCCCAUCGUCAUAGCCACAUGCAACAACCCCAAUCCACCAUCGCAGCCACAUGGUUCCAUUUAAUUUCGACGAGCACCAUAUGAUUUGGCUUCCAUUCAAAACUCAGAUAAUAAGAAAAUCCACCAUCGUAACCAUAUGAUUUUGGUACGCACCAAUGGCAAACGAUGAGGACUUCAUAGCUUGGACUUAGGGCUGUAGGCGACAAGGAUAAGACGAGUAAAAGAGGAAAAGGAGAGAAAAAUUUCUAGCCAAAAAAAGCACAGAUAAAAAAGGACUAAGAAUAAGAGGAGAAGGAGACGAUGACAACCACUGUGCAAGGAAGGAAGAGCUCAUGCAGCAGGGCUAUGCGCAGGAGGAGGAAGAAGAAAAGUUUUAUAAAAAAAUAAAAAAAAUCCACAUGCCCAAAAAUAUAUAUAUUUAAAAAACUUACUUUUCACACCAAAAAAAAAACUUACAAAGAAAAUAUUUAAAAAUAAUUUAGUCAAACUCCAAUCAAACGUAAACCAAACACAAUACACGUGAUAUCCAGCUUAGGCUAGACUAAGCUAAUUCAAGACAAUUUCAGGAUUUAGUCCAUUCCGUAACAGUCGAC
rnacentral:lncRNA from 1 species